rnacentral:rRNA from 1 species
UGAGCAAUCUGCCCUUCUCAUCGGAAUAAGCGUUGGAAACGACGUCUAAUGCCGAAUACGACCUCCUUUCGCAUGAUCGGAGGUGGAAAGCUCCGGCGGAGAAGGAUGAGCUCGCGGCCUAUCAGCUAGUUGGUGUGGGUAAUGGCCCACCAAGGCGACGACGGGUAGCCGGCCUGAGAGGGGUGACCGGCCACACUGGGACUGAGACACGGCCCAGACUCCGUACGGGAGCAG